AAUCCAGAGCUGAGAGACACAGGGAAGGAAGAAAUGGAUGAGGGAACAAGGACUGGGGAGUGAGGUUAAGAGUACUGCAAAAUGAAAACUCUGCAUUUCCAUUUUAAGGAGAGGGAGUAAAGAGGAGAGGCUAAUUUAGAAUACAUAAAGAAGGAGGGGAUGAACUACUGAGGAAUACAAUAACCAGUCCUGGUCUGGCCUCCUCCUGUCACACUGAGCAUGAAACUGAUCAGUGACAGAUACUCCGUCAUCCAACAGAAAUAGAAUUUUAAUCUGAAGUUUGUGCUGUUUUUUUCCCCCUGUUUCUACUUUUGUGUGUGACUGAGUCAUAAGACAUCUGAUGGAUUUAAAGUGUAUGUGUGUCUGUAUGUGGAUCCCAAGAUGAUCCCAGCCUCUCUAAAUGCUAAUGAUGUGUGUAGGUGAGUGAUUUUUUUCAGGACACCCUAUGUUAGACCAGCAGGGAAGCCCAAGAAACAUAAUCGACCUACAGCUACUGAGGCUUCCUCAUCUCACAGCAACAUAAUCACAAUGACCCAGCAAGGGUUUGAAUUUUAGUUUCAGAUUUAGGAUCUGUAUUACCAGAGGAGACCUGUGUGCCUUUAUGUGUCAUCUUUUUGACUCAAUAUACAUUUUAUGGACACCCUCAGCAUGAUUUGUAGAUAGGAAAAGAUAAUUCUGGUUUAAUCAUUUUGUAGUUUUCCACCAUUCCUAUCAGUAAUAACUGGGAUUUUUAUCAUGUUAAUAUUGAUCUAAAGAACACGGUGACAUCACUAAAUAUAAGUCAGAUGGGUUAGGAAACACAAGCAGUCAGACAAUCUGGUUGGAAACAAACCUCCAUGUUAGACAAACUUAUUUGAAAAGAAAACUAAGGUGAACUGUAAAAUGAUUGUACUGUCUACUGCAAACACAAUUUAUAGACUAGUUCCUGCUUCAACCAGCCAAUGACUUUUAUUACAUUUGAAUUGGUAUCAGGAGGAAAUGUCCUGAUGAUUACGUGUUUCUAA